UGCAUUGACCUAGCUAAGUUUUCAGUUCUUAACAUUCAUGAAAACAAUAUGUUGAUUUCAAGUUUGGUUCAAUUAGUGAUAUUUCUAAAAGAAAGUUUGAUUAUCAGACUUGUAAAAAAAAUAUUUUUUCUCAGGGACCAUGGAUAAGCAUGGUUCAGCUUAUAGUCAGUUAAAAACCACAUAGAUUAAUGAAAUUCAAAAGUUGACUAGAUUGAAAGUUUUAGAAUAGUCUUUGGUCAUAUUAUGUCUCCCCAGAGCACAGAAAAACAAAUAAAUGAAUAAUUUGUGAAUGUUUGAAGGGAUAUAAUCAAAUUUGCUUGCUUUAAAAAUGCAACAGCAUUAUUUAAGAAACAUUUAAUACAUAUAAUUAGUUAAGUUAACUUCUAAUAUAUAUAAUUUGUUAAUUGAAAACAUCCUAAAAAUGUGUACUCUGCCAUGUAAAUAGAUUUGAAUUCAUGAAAUUGUUGAUCUAAUAAAAUAUACUUGUAUGCUGUACACUUUUCUAUGAAGAAUGAAGCCAUUUUUUAAUGGUAUUUUUCAUGUGUGUCUAGAUUGUAUAUAUAAAUAGUUCAAGGAACUUCUAUGGACAGUUUUAGUUUAAAAACAAAAAUUAGUCAACUCCUUUCAAUGAGAAAAUUAAAGAAAAAGGGGGGGGGGGAAUAAUUGUGU